UGGGGAAUAUUGCACAAUGGGCGCAAGCCUGAUGCAGCCAUGCCGCGUGUAUGAAGAAGGCCUUCGGGUUGUAAAGUACUUUCAGCGGGGAUGAAGGGAGUAAAGUUAAUACCUUUGCUCAUUGACGUUACCCGCAGAAGAAGCACCGGCUAACUCCGUGCCAGCAGCCGCGGUAAUACGGAGGGUGCAAGCGUUAAUCGGAAUUACUGGGCGUAAAGCGCACGCAGGCGGUUUGUUAAGUCAGAUGUGAAAUCCCCGGGCUCAACCUGGGAACUGCAUCUGAUACUGGCAAGCUUGAGUCUCGUAGAGGGGGGUAGAAUUCCAGGUGUAGCGGUGAAAUGCGUAGAGAUCUGGAGGAAUACCGGUGGCGAAGGCGGCCCCCUGGACGAAGACUGACGCUCAGGUGCGAAAGCGUGGGGAGCAAGCA
rnacentral:rRNA from 1 species